rnacentral:ncRNA from 1 species
UGACGUUGGCCUAUUGAAUUGACGGUGGCCAUAGAAGUCGGAAUCCGUUAAGGAGUGUGUAACAACUCACGGAUCGAAUGAACUAGCCCUGAAAAUGGAU